UCAGUUACAACCCAAACCCUUAUGGAACAUACCUACUGUUGCUUCCGGACUCGCCCCGGCGUCCGGACGGCCUCGCGCCGCCCGCGGCCCGGACCCAGGCGGCCGCCGGAGACCCUAAACUCUGUAUUAUCAGCAUUUUCUGAAUCCGCCGCAAGGCAAAACAAAUGAAUCAAAACUUUCAACAACGGAUCUCUUGGUCUGCAUCGAUGAAGAACGCAGCGAAAUGCGAUAAGUAAUGUGAAUUGCAGAAUUCAUGAAUCAUCGAAUCUUUGAACGCACAUUGCGCCGCCAGAUUCUGGCGGGCAUGCCUGUUCGAGCGUCAUUUCAACCCUCGACUUCUUUGGGGAAAUCGGCGUUGGGGAACGGCAGCAUACCGCCGGCCCCAAAUGGAGUGGCGGCCCGUCCGCGGCGACCUCUGCGUAGUAAUCCAACUCGCACCGGACCCCGACGUGGCCACGCCGUAAAACACCCAACUUCUGAAC
rnacentral:rRNA from 1 species